ensembl:misc_RNA Metazoa_SRP Metazoan signal recognition particle RNA
GCCGGGCAUGGUGGCACAUGCCUGUACUCCCAGCUUCUUGGGAGGCUGAGGCAGGAGAAUCGCUUGAACCCAGGAGGCAGAGGUUGCAGUGAGCCAAGAUCAUGCCACUGCACUCUAGCCUGGGUGACAGAGUGAGACUCUGGCUCAA